CGGGUGAGUAACGCGUGGAUAACCUGCCUUACACUGGGGGAUAACACUUAGAAAUAGGUGCUAAUACCGCAUAAGCGCACAGAGCCGCAUGGCUCAGUGUGAAAAACUCCGGUGGUAUAAGAUGGAUCCGCGUCUGAUUAGCUGGUUGGCGGGGUAGAAGCCCACCAAGGCGACGAUCAGUAGCCGGCCUGAGAGGGUGAACGGCCACAUUGGGACUGAGACACGGCCCAAACUCCUACGGGAGGCAGCAG
rnacentral:rRNA from 1 species